rnacentral:rRNA from 1 species
AUUGGACGCUGGCGGCAGGCCUAACACAUGCAAGUCGAGCGGAUGAAGGGAGCUUGCUCCUGGAUUCAGCGGCGGACGGGUGAGUAAUGCCUAGGAAUCUGCCUGGUAGUGGGGGAUAACGUCCGGAAACGGGCGCUAAUACCGCAUACGUCCUGAGGGAGAAAGUGGGGGAUCUUCGGACCUCACGCUAUCAGAUGAGCCUAGGUCGGAUUAGCUAGUUGGUGGGGUAAAGGCCUACCAAGGCGACGAUCCGUAACUGGUCUGAGAGGAUGAUCAGUCACACUGGAACUGAGACACGGUCCAGACUCCUACGGAAGGCAGCAGUGGGGAAUAUUGGACAAUGGGCGAAAGCCUGAUCCAGCCAUGCCGCGUGUGUGAAGAAGGUCUUCGGAUUGUAAAGCACUUUAAGUUGGGAGGAAGGGCAGUAAGUUAAUACCUUACUGUUUUGACGUUACCAACAGAAUAAGCACCGGCUAACUUCGUG